CCUACGGGAGGCAGCAGUGGGGAAUUUUGGACAAUGGGCGCAAGCCUGAUCCAGCCAUGCCGCGUGCAGAAUGAAGGCCUUCGGGUUGUAAACUGCUUUUGUACGGAACGAAAAGACUCUGGUUAAUACCUGGGGUCCAUGACGGUACCGUAAGAAUAAGCACCGGCUAACUACGUGCCAGCAGCCGCGGUAAUACGUAGGGUGCGAGCGUUAAUCGGAAUUACUGGGCGUAAAGCGUGCGCAGGCGGUUAUAUAAGACAGAUGUGAAAUCCCCGGGCUCAACCUGGGAACUGCAUUUGUGACUGUAUAGCUAGAGUACGGCAGAGGGGGAUGGAAUUCCGCGUGUAGCAGUGAAAUGCGUAGAUAUGCGGAGGAACACCGAUGGCGAAGGCAAUCCCCUGGGCCUGUACUGACGCUCAUGCACGAAAGCGUGGGGAGCAAACAGGAUUAGAUACCCUGGUAGUCCACGCCCUAAACGAUGUCAACUGGUUGUUGGGUCUUCACUGACUCAGUAACGAAGCUAACGCGUGAAGUUGACCGCCUGGGGAGUACGGCCGCAAGGUUGAAACUUAAAGGAAUUGACGGCUGNGAGNGCGACGACGACGACGAGGAGGAGG
rnacentral:rRNA from 1 species